GACCUCACUCAUUCCCCAACUUGGACACUGAAAGUAAGUGUCUUCCCUGUUUGCCAAGAAAUGAUAAACCAGUGAAUAGGAGGCGAUUGUCCUUGCAUUCCCCUCUGGUAUGCCAAAGGUGCAGGAUUCAAAUGACUAGUGCAAUUGAAUAUGCUUAUAAGCUUAUUCACUGUAUUUAAUUAAAAGCUAUUCAAAUUACUCACUAAUAAUACAACUGAGAAAAUUCAGAAAUAAAAUUCUAUACACCUAUUUUAUACUAUAUGCUAUAUUUAUAAAUUCCAUUUGGCCAUUUUAAUAUAGGGCCAUUUAUAGGCAGGUAAUAGGCCAAGUGACCAAUACCAAAAGCAUAGUAAAACAAUAUAUUACACCAUUAAAACUUUACUAUCGUAAAUAUAUAUUAUUAAACAUUUUAUAUUUACAGUGUGC